GGUGCAACAGGACAUGGAUGGAAGGUCUAGGAAUACUAAAAUAGUCAAGCUUACUGUAAGUAACCCUAGUACCUCAUAACAUAUUAUAUAAAUAACAUUAUUUUAGUUCACGGGCAAUGAUUUUCAAAUGCAAGUUGUGUUUUUGUUCAAAGGUUUUUUUAAACAUUGAAUGAUAAUAUAUGAUUUGUUGGUGUAUGAAUGUAAUAAUAAAGUGUGUUGUACAGGGCAAUUCGAUUAGUGAAGAGAGGAGGAAUAAAAGGGACAUUUGUGAUUUUUGAUGUUUGUAGUUUAAACAUGUAUAGUAACACGUUUUAGUGAGGGAUUUGCAGAGUGUAGAAUUCUUCAUAAUGAGAAAAAUAUGUUGCACACUUUUCAUGGACUUGUAGGGUUAAAGUUGAUUUUGGGGGUCUUCUAAAGGCCCCCACCAUUGAUUAUGUUGUUAUUAAUUUGCUUAUGUGCCAUUGUACUUAUGCUCACUGUAUAGCUGAAUGUUGAGGCCUCUCUGUGUCUAGCUCUGCCCUGUGUCUCUGAGAAAGGUGAGAAAAGGGACUGAGGGUGAUAGCGAGACACAGAGAGACAGCUUCGGUUUCUCUCUGAAACAAGGGCAGAUUUGCAUACCGCUGAGACAGGUUCUCAGAAACCUUAUGUUAAGAAUAACUUGUUCUUUAAGCUGCACAUGCAGGGUUUGACAUAGGAUAAGGUGUGAUCUCGGGUACAUAAGAUGCUGUCUUUCUAUUGUUUGGGCAGAACUCAGGAGAGACAUCAGUUGUAUGUUGAUAUGACUUCUGUCUACAACUGUAUUCUAAUUAAAAUAUCUUAUUUUUUUUAGUCUUGGUCUUUAGUCUUGGUACACUACAACUCUACUCUAACCUGGUCUUACUUCAUCAGUUUAUUUCAGUCACACUCACUUAUGGAUGUUACUGUCGACAUUCUUAAAUAAAAUAUGUUUGAUUAGUGACAACCAUAUUACCAUUAUUUUCACCCUCUUGCAUGAAUGGUGAGAUGGAGGCACUAAUUGAAACAAUGUAGAACUAUGUGCCCACAUCAUGGUGGUAUGGUGGUUCAGAGAACUGUAAAGAUGGAGACUGUUGUAACAUCAUUAUAAUAAUUUGGUAUGUGCUUACAUUCGUCCUAUUUCAAACAAUUCAAUUUUUUUUGCACAUCCCUCUCCCACUGAGAGGAAUGUUUAGACUGUUUUGUUUGCCCAGGUGCAGCCCCUGACCUCUUCUUCAGUCAGCAGUCCUUGGAUGAGUCCUUCAGUGAUACCAGAGCAGUUGAACCAUCUUACUGCUCACAGGGAUUCCUGGUUGACAAAGACUUGUGGGAACGACAUUCUGACGGUGUAUGAACGGGACCAGCAUCAUUGCCAGAUUGCCUGCACUCAGAACCCUGGGUGUUCCUACUUCAGUUACGUGGUUAACGAGUAUAAUCUAUUUGAGUAUUUGGGUUGCCUGUUUGGGUGGUGGUCACACCACUUCUUUCAAAAUGAUACAGUAUUUGUUUACAAUUACAUUAAAUAAAAAAUGUAAAACAGAAA